GGGGAGGAGUUCACUUCCGGGUCAAGGGGAGGCACUGACGCUGUUUCCACAGGGGGUGCCCUCCCAUGAGGCGAGCUGUCGAAUUCAGCAGGGCAGCUCACCGGAGCGAGCUGGAGAAGGCAGAGAAGAUUGAUGAGAGACAGACCUGUCUCAUUGCAGAGCUGCCUUGCAUCCUUAAGGCAGCCUAGCAACUCUCAUUCCUGCUGGCGGAUCUGAGGGCCCCUCCCAGCCCCACGCCCUGUGUAGAACACCAGACACACAGCCGAGGCACACUUACACAGGACAUUACUGUGGUUCCCUGUGCUGUACCGGAGGACCUUGCUCUUUGCCCAUCCUGUGUACAACAGUCUGCAUCUACUAACGCUCACCGCCCCCUCCAUCCGUCUCCAGGCCCUCCCCCUUGGAGGUGAUGUUCUUAAACGCCUUCCUGAACUAAUUUUGCUGCCUGUCACCCCUGCGAAUGAGUCCACCUGGGCAAGUCAGAUUUGCAAGAGGGCCCUCUCUACCGAGACAGGUCCCGAGAGGGCCCCUCACAGAACCAGUUUCAGACGGAGACCUCCUCGGGUUCCUCUUUUUCACACUCUAAGAGCCAGAAUGAGAUGGGGCAACCUGGGACCCCGUUUUUUUCUGUAUCAAUGUUCCUGAAUGAAAAAUGCUCGAAAAAUGAAUGUUAAACCCUUCGCCCAUGGAGGAAAGUUCAGUAUCUGCCUGAACACAAUGCUAACUUGGAAAAAAAAACACCUAUUUUGUGCUUUUCUGUAGUAAAAUCAGACGAGAGCUGAGCUCUGUUGGUUGUUGGUCAUGGACAUGACCCGGGUUUACACCUGUGAGCUCGGCGGGCCACAGGGGCUGAGGUGUGUGUCCUGUUAGCACCAUUUCAUCUAAAGUCUCUUCACUUGAGCCCCUGUCUAGGCAGAGCCCCUGUCUAGGCACAGCCCCUAACUGUUACCAAAGACUGUCUUCAAAGACCUGGAACAAUGGUGAACAUGUACGCGACCCUGCUCCCCACCAUCUGGGGAAGAAAAGGUAGGCCUCUUUUUCCUAAAAUAAUUGAGGGCAAGUCGAUAUUGUUUCUUUGGGUCUGUAGUUCAGCCUUGGCACUGAUCCUGUGUUACCAAGAGU
ensembl:lncRNA